rnacentral:rRNA from 1 species
UACGAAGGGGGCUAGCGUUGCUCGGAAUCACUGGGCGUAAAGCGCACGUAGGCGGGUCUUUAAGUCGGAUGUGAAAUCCCGGGGCUCAACCCCGGAACUGCAUUCGAUACUGCUUUACUUGAGGACUGGAGAGGAGAUUGGAAUUCACGGUGUAGCAGUGAAAUGCGUAGAUAUCGUGAGGAAGACCAGUGGCGAAGGCGAAUCUCUGGACAGAUCCUGACGCUGAGGCACGAAGGCUAGGGGAGCAAACGGG